CUUAGCUAAAGGUAACAUUGUAUUCCAUGUUCCAUACCAGAAGCCAUCACCAAGAAACGGAAUUUGCAUAAAUCUCAGUGCGCUGGUAACUAUUAGUUACUUAUUUCUCACCAUUCACUCAUUAGAAAACUAAGUUAUUUAGGACAGGAGCUUUGUCGUUCUAAACCCCUGGGCAGUCCUUUUGAUACUGAUGGCUAAACGUGACAGAACCUGUCGCCCAAACACGCUGGAAUAAACUACACUUCCCAUAUAA